ensembl:lncRNA
AUACAAUGGAGAACAUGUUUGCCCAGUUUUACCCAGAAACAUAAAAGGUUUUUGGCUCCUCCUUUUAGAAGAUCCCUUUCAUGGUUCCAGGUAGAACCUUCUUACCCUACACAUAACCUUUAAAACCCAUCUAGAACCCUGUCCCUUAAGCAGAACCAUAGGUAGAACUCUAUGUUAUCAAGAAUGAUGACUCACCAGUUUGCGUGUCCUGUCCAGAACCAGGUCAAUGAUCUCCUUGCCGAUGGUGUAGUGACCACGGGCGUAGUUGUUGGCAGCAUCCUCCUUACCCGUAAUGAGCUGCUCAGGGUGGAACAGCUGGCGAUAGGUACCUGUCCUCACCUCAUCUAAAAGACAAAGGUAAAUUCCGAAUGUCAGGAUAUUGCAAAUAUGAGAAUAUCCAAGUAUCCGGAAUAUUCGUCAAUCCUAAUAUCUGAAUAUUCGUAAAUCCUAAUAUCUGAAUAUUCAGAAAUCCUAAUAUCUGAAUAUUCGGAAAUCCUAAUAUCUGAAUAUUCAUAAAUCCUAAUAUCUGAAUAUUCGGAAAUCCUCAUAUCUGAAUAUUCGGAAAUCCUCAUAUCUGAAUAUUCGGAAAUCCUCAUAUCUGAAUAUUCGGAAAUCCUAAUAUCUGAAUUUUUGGAAUAUCCGAAUAUUCAGAAAAUCUUUGGGCAGAAUAAUCAAAACAGCACAUUCAUAGAUGAGCUUUCUCUAGUUUGUCUCAUCUUACCGAUGACAGUGGGCUCCAGAUCAACGAAGAUGGCACGGGGGACAUGCUUUCCGGCUCCGGUCUCACUGAAGAAGGUGUUGAAGGAGUCGUCUCCACCUCCACAGGUCUUGUCACUGGGCAUCUGUCCGUCCGGCUGGAUCCCAUGCUCCAGGCAGUACAGCUCCCAACAGGCGUUACCCAUCUGGACUCCGGCUUGGCCCACAUGCAUGGAAAUACACUCACGCUGAAAGAGAGGAGGUACAAGAGAUCAACCACAUGGAAACUUGAAUCAAAUCAGGUGUAUACACAUUGAAGAUAGUGAAGUGUCGAAGUCAGGCAAAUGUUCAGGUUUAAAGCCGUUUCAUAGAUUAUUAAAGAGUAAGCUAACAUGAUCGUUUAAAAAAAAAACUCCUACUAAAAGACAACCUUGCUUUCUCCGUUUCCCUUUUAUUGUCUCUCUAGUAUCUAUUACAGUAAUACAAUGUCCUAACGUAACUUUGAAUUUUGAAGGAUCUACAGUUGGUAAUAAAAAUUUUAAAAAAAAUCUCCUAAGCCAGUGUUAAAACACCAAACAUAAGGCCUGAGGUUAUUCCAAAACCCCAUUCGUUCCCCAUUUAUUUCCCCCUUAGGGGUGGUUGAACGAAGCAGAAGGAUCUCGUUUACAUUUUAGGACUUCCAAGCUGGCGAGUGCAGUGUAGGCGGUCAAUGUAGGUAAGAAUUUAUUCUUAACUGACUUACCUAGUUAAAUACAUUUGAUUUUAUUCAAAGUCAUUGGCUCUAUCCAAGAGGAUCAAAAACACAAUGUAGCAAGGGUCUAUAGUGUGACUGACCUACAAAUAAUAAAAGUAUUUAUUUAUGAUGAAAAUUAAAUUUGUAGAUCAGUCAGCCAUCGUUUUGAUGCUUUCAAACACCGCCAUUGGCUAAGCUACCCUCUUGGUCACCAUCUUUGGUAUACACACUCAUACUAUACUGUAAGUUAUCUUGCAAAUCCUCUGCCAUUUAAGGUGGGGUUUUUUAAUGACCCUGUAUCUUUAAGAGCAGAGACGAAAAGGUGUGCCUUGUUCCUGUGCGCCACCCCCUACUCCCCCGCGCUCCUUUUCUCCCUCCCUCCAACCAGCUGCGCACCAACUGCAGUGGAACAGCCACAGAUCGCACAGAAAAUGGCUACCAUCCUAAACCGCUUCUUUUCUUAGCGUCAUGUCAUCCUCCUCUUUGAAAUGCCGAUUUUUUAAAAAAAAAAUUUAAAUACAUUUUUUGUAAUAUAAUUUUCAAAAAAAUCUCCAAUUCGUGUUUUUGUCCUGAAGCUGUGUUUAAAAAAAUGUUUUCAUUUAAACAAUGGACAGUCUAUGAACAAGUAGAACAAUGACCCACAUUGGAUGUACAGCUAUAGAUUGUCAAACAAAUAUACAUUUUUGUAUUUAACCUAAAUAAUUGUAAAUCACAUGUAUCCUUAAUUAGCUGUAUACAUAACACUAACAUCGACAUAAGAACAGGCAACGCAGAGAAUCCGCUGAUAAUGAGUUAAGGGCGGGAAUCAAAGCCAAUUGCGCAUUAGAUUACAGUCUCAGGAUGGGUGAACUUGGUACGUUGAUAUUUAUUUAUUAAUGCAUUCAUUUUUACUAAAAUACUUUAUAGAACGAUGAGUACACUGACGUAGUCAUUGCCUAGUUAAAUAAAAGGUUACAUUUAAUAAGUAGUAGGCAAAACUAAUUUCAGGCAUGUGCCACCUCCAUGGUCUUUAUAUAACAGAAUCCAUCGUCUACAUGCUUUUCACCUUUAUCUAAUCCUAUCAUUUUCGUUUGAAUACCAUGUGAAAUGAAUACAUAAAUGACUUUAUAAUCUGCGUCAGCACUCACCAUUUUGUCUAGUUUUCUUUUCCUUCACAGGCUGACGUCGAGGAUUCAGAAGAGAAGGCAGAACUGUCGGAGAAAGGAAGAGGUGGGGUUUUUAUAUGCCUGGAAAGAAGACAGACAGGCAGUAAAUUAGUAAAUCCCUCCUCCUUCAGGAAGCUACAUCAGAGUCUGGUUGGCUGGGGACACGGUUGGUAUGAAAAGAACAAGUCCCUCCUCCUACAGGAAGCUACAGCAGAGUCUGGUUGGCUGGGGACACCGUUGGUGGGUCGUUCUUCAAUUGCUG